rnacentral:rRNA from 1 species
UACGGAGGGUGCAAGCGUUGUCCGGAUUUAUUGGGUUUAAAGGGUACGUAGGCGGCUAUUUAAGUCAGUGGUGAAAUCCUGCAGCUUAACUGUAGAACAGCCAUUGAUACUGGAUAGCUUGAGUACAGACGAGGUAGGCGGAAUUUAUGGUGUAGCGGUGAAAUGCAUAGAUACCAUAAAGAACCCCUAUUGCGAAGGCAGCUUACUAGGCUGUAACUGACGCUGAGGCACGAAAGCGUGGGGAUCAAACAGG